CAUAUCCACUUAACAACAAUAAGCUGGAGCUGAGGAGCCAUGUCCCCCUGCAUCUUUACUUCUCUUCAGUCAUGAUUCCAUCUCAUUUUAGGAGCUUCAGUCAUCAUCCACUCCCCCAGGGACAUCUGCGGGGGUCGAAGACCUGGUCCUAGAGACUUUGAACUGGAAGAGGAAGGAGAGUGGCUCCAGCAGAUUCUCUCCUACCCUAUUUCUCCAACAAGAUUCACUGAAACCGUGGUCUUGUGACUCAUUCUUGGAUUCUAAACCACUUCUGUCACAGAGUCAGUGACGCAGUUGUGACGAUGCUGGCUGGAUUAUUCUAUCUCUUCCUCCAUUUAGAAUUGAUUCGAAUGACACAAGUGUGCCAUCUAGCCCAGGAAGGCCUGAUCCAUUUGUGAGACGUAUUCUGUGAAAUCAUAAGCUGGAAAUGCAGAGGAUACUAGGUCACCUGAAAUUUUCCUUACUUAACUCAGCUUGAAGUUCCCCUGCUUUCAACAAAGCUAGCUGACCACCCAUCCACAUAACAAAAGCCAAAUGAAUGUGCAAGAAUUGCACAGAAGGACACUCGAAAUGCACACUGUGUUGUUAUGUAGCUUUCCUUUAUUGCAAAACAAUAAUGAAAAGACACACAUCUACAUUAGCUUUCGGACAUGGGAAGUCCCUAAAAUUCUUCAUGUUGAGAGCCAAGAGGUAAUGGAGAAUAAAUAGCAGUGGGGUCUUCCAAGCUGAGGUAGCAGCUCUCCAGAGCCAAGAAAAAGCUUGGUCAGAUUGGACAAUGAUGAAUACCACAGUUCUACAUGGUUAGAAGGUACAACAAAAUGGAGCUGGCAAUGUGGCAAGAUACAAGGCUAAAGAAGGAAGCAGAAGCUGCCUCUUAUUUUAAGACAAUUGUUCUCAAAGUAAUUUAGCAUUCAUCUGCAUCACUUGGAGGGCUUAUUGAAACCCAGUGUCCUGGAGCCCACACCCAGGAUUUCUGAUUUAAUGGAUCUGGGAUGGGGCAUGAGAAUUACGAGUCUAACAAGAUUCCAGGAGAUGUUGAUGCCCUUGGCCCAGGAAACCUCACUAUGAAAAUCACUGCCCUGGGAUGCUUCUUU